rnacentral:rRNA from 1 species
GUCGAGCGAACAGAUAAGGAGCUUGCUCCUUUGACGUUAGCGGCGGACGGGUGAGUAACACGUGGGUAACCUACCUAUAAGACUGGAAUAACUCCGGGAAACCGGGGCUAAUGCCGGAUAACAUUUAGAACCGCAUGGUUCUAAAGUGAAAGAUGGUUUUGCUAUCACUUAUAGAUGGACCCGCGCCGUAUUAGCUAGUUGGUAAGGUAACGGCUUACCAAGGCAACGAUACGUAGCCGACCUGAGAGGGUGAUCGGCCACACUGGAACUGAGACACGGUCCAGACUCCUACGGGAGGCAGCAGUAGGGAAUCUUCCGCAAUGGGCGAAAGCCUGACGGAGCAACGCCGCGUGAGUGAUGAAGGUCUUCGGAUCGUAAAACUCUGUUAUUAGGGAAGAACAAAUGUGUAAGUAACUGUGCACGUCUUGACGGUACCUAAUCAGAAAGCCACGGCUAACUACGUGCCAGCAGCCGCGGUAAUACGUAGGUGGCAAGCGUUAUCCGGAAUUAUUGGGCGUAAAGCGCGCGUAGGCGGUUUCUUAAGUCUGAUGUGAAAGCCCACGGCUCAACCGUGGAGGGUCAUUGGAAACUGGGAAACUUGAGUGCAGAAGAGGAAAGUGGAAUUCCAUGUGUAGCGGUGAAAUGCGCAGAGAUAUGGAGGAACACCAGUGGCGAAGGCGACUUUCUGGUCUGUAACUGACGCUGAUGUGCGAAAGCGUGGGGAUCAAACAGGAUUAGAUACCCUGGUAGUCCACGCCGUAAACGAUGAGUGCUAAGUGUUA